rnacentral:rRNA from 1 species
AUGGAGUUCAGUAGGAUAAGUCAUGAAUAACAAUAAUGAAGUAAUAUGGUAGAAAAGAUUGUGGGAGUGUAAAAAGCAGGGUCAAGAGUAACAAUUAGAAAGAAGAGAUGGAAAGAAAUGAGAGAGUCAAGAGAAAAUGAGUUAAGUAUAAUUAGCGAUUCGAAGAAAACAGAGUGAUGUUGAAAGAUUAAGAGAAGCACGAAGGUUAGGGAUAUAGGGCACGGCGUGACCAUAUGAGGCAAGAAUGAUAUCCAGAACGAUCGACCAGGAACCGGUCCAACCGACAAAUAUUCCGGGAUUGGCUCAUUCCAACAGCUAUCGUUUUUUUCGAAUUUUCUUGGAUAAGUACGGUAAUUCUGGAGCUAAUACAAGUUCACCAUCCUCGACUUCGAAGAAGUACAGAUAUUAGUACAAACCUACCGUCUUUGACGCGGUUAGUUGACUCUGGGUAUCGUAGCUUAUCGAUGGUUUAUCCAUCGAUAAUCGAAAAAAGUGUCUGCCCUAUCAACUAGAUGGUAGUCUCUUAGUCUACCAUGGUUGUUACGGGUAACGGAGAAUUAGGGUUCGACUCCGGAGAGGGAGCCUUACAAACGGCUACCACAUCCAAGGAAGGCAGCAGGCGCGUAACUUAUCCACUACUACAGUGAGAUAGUGACUAAAAAUAAAAAGACCAAUCCUCUGGAUUGGUUAUUUCAAUGAGUUGAGCUCAAAUAGCUCUUCGAGGACCUAGUGGAGGGCAAGUCUGGUGCCAGCAGCCGCGGUAAUUCCAGCUCCACUAGUGUAAAUCGUCAUUGCUGCGGUUAAAAAGCUCGUAGUUGGAUCUGAGGCAUGUGCAGUGGUUCGGCUCUGUCGUUAACCAUUGUCGUGUCUAUUUUGUUGGUUUUCUGUAGGUUGUUUCAACUCCUGCAGUGGCUGGCAAUUUUACCUUGUUCAAAUUAAAAGCGCUUAAAGCAGACGUGUGUCUGAAUAGGUUAAUAAGGAAUAAUAAAAUAGGACUUAUGUUCUAUACUGUAGGUUUUAGAAAAUAAGUAAUGAUUAAGAAGGGCGAUUCGAGGCCGUUCGUAUCCCUACGCGAGAGGGGAAUUCCUAUACCGUAGGGGGCCGUCCAAUUGCGAAAGCAAUCGGAAGAACGUCCUUUUAAUCAAGAUCGAAAGUCAGAGUUCGAAGGCGUCAAAUACCGCCCAGUUCUCUUUACUCCUUCUCCUUCCCCUCUUUUUCUCCCUCUCCCUCUCCACCUUUCCGUUUUCUCCUCUAUCCAUAUCCCUCCAGCUCAUCUCGCUUAGCUUCGCUGCCGCUCCACGUGUACUGUUAUCGUUGUCGGGUGCAUACCGCCCUUGACAUUUACCAUCCGUAUUGUUCGUUUUCUAUUACUAUAUCUUGUUCUUAUUAUCCUUCAUUUCCUCUGCCAUUCCUCUGUCUAUUCUCAUCCCCUGCC